rnacentral:rRNA from 1 species
GCAAAACGCGAAGAACCUUACCUACUCUUGACAUCCAGAGAACUUGGCAGAGAUGCUUUGGUGCCUUCGGGAACUCUGAGACAGGUGCUGCAUGGCUGUCGUCAGCUCGUGUUGUGAAAUGUUGGGUUAAGUCCCGCAACGAGCGCAACCCUUAUCCUUUGUUGCCAGCGGUCCGGCCGGGAACUCAAAGGAGACUGCCAGUGAUAAACUGGAGGAAGGUGGGGAUGACGUCAAGUCAUCAUGGCCCUUACGAGUAGGGCUACACACGUGCUACAAUGGCGCAUACAAAGAGAAGCGACCUCGCGAGAGCAAGCGGACCUCAUAAAGUGCGUCGUAGUCCGGAUUGGAGUCUGCAACUCGACUCCAUGAAGUCGGAAUCGCUAGUAAUCGUGGAUCAGAAUGCCACGGUGAAUACGUCCGG